rnacentral:snRNA from 1 species
GUCACUUCUCAACCUUUUGGCUAAGAUCAAGUGUAGUAUCUGUUCUUAUCAGUUUAAUAUCUGAUACGUCCUCUAUCUGAGCACAAUAUAUUAAAUGGAUUUUUGGAGCAGGGAGAUGGAAUAGGAGCUUGCUCCAUCCACUCCACACAUUGACCUGGUAUUGCAGUACCUCAUGAAGGGUACAUAAAAA